rnacentral:rRNA from 1 species
UACAGAGGGGGCAAGCGUUGUUCGGAAUUACUGGGCGUAAAGGGCGCGUAGGCGGCCUUCUAAGUCGAACGUGAAAUCCCCGGGCUCAACCCGGGAACUGCGUCCGAUACUGGAAGACUUGAAUCCGGGAGAGGGAUGCGGAAUUCCAGGUGUAGCGGUGAAAUGCGUAGAUAUCUGGAGGAACACCGGUGGCGAAGGCGGCAUCCUGGACCGGCAUUGACGCUGAGGCGCGAAAGCCAGGGGAGCAAACGGG